rnacentral:rRNA from 1 species
GACGAACGCUGGCGGCGUGCUUAACACAUGCAAGUCGAACGGUUCUGCCCUGUUUUUUGCGGGGUGGGUCAGUGGCGAACGGGUGAGUAACACGUGAGUAACCUGCCCCUCACUUCUGGAUAACCGCUUGAAAGGGUGGCUAAUACGGGGUGUUCUGGCUGUGCCGCAUGGUGUGGCUGGGAAAGAUUCACUUUUGUGGUGUUUUGGUGGGGGAUGGGCUCGCGGCCUAUCAGCUUGUUGGUGGGGUGAUGGCCUGCCAAGGCUUUGACGGGUCGCCGGCCUGAGAGGGUGGGCGGUCACACUGGGACUGAGAUACGGCCCAGACUCCUGCGGGAGGCAGCAGUGGGGGGUAUUGCACAAUGGGCGGAAGCCUGAUGCAGCGACGUCGCGUGAGGGAUGGAGGCCGUCGGGUUGUGAACCUCUUUCGCCGGUGAAGAAGGUCCUGCUCUUUGUGGUGGGGUUGACGGUAGCCGGGUUAUGAAGCGCCGGCUAACUACGU